AGAACUGAGCACAGACAGCUCACCAUGGAGCUGGUGCUAAUUGGAGCUUUCCUGUUUGCAAUCUUGAAAGGUGCCCGGGCUGAGGUGCAACUGGUGGAGUCCGGGGGAGCCUUGAUGCAACCUGGAGGGUCCCUGAGACUCUCCUGCUUGGCCUCAGGAUUCACUUUCAGUAGCUAUGAAAUGAACUGGAUUCGCCAGUCUCCAGGGAAAGGGCUGGAGUGGAUCUCCUACAUCAGUAGCGGUAGUGGUAGCAUAUACUACGCAGACUCCGUGAAAGGUCGGUUCACCGUCUCCAGAGACAACAGCAAGAACACGCUGUAUCUGCAAAUGAACAGCCUGAGAACCGAGGACACUGCUGUGUAUUACUGUGCGAGAGACACAGUGAGGAAACAACAGUGUGAGCUCAGACAAAAACCUCCCUGUAGGGCUGUUCACGCCCAGCAGGGGCCGCUGUGGUCCACGGUGAAUCAGGCGGGACACCAGGAGCAGUUGCAGAGAAAAAAAGCCUAA